CAGGUGCCGAACUUCGCGCGCCGUGGAGCAUUGUGGGAAUAUUAUAAAAUGUAAAAAAUAAAAAUAGGAGGAAGAUCAUACAGUCUAUGGGGAAGAUGUCUGUUGUUCCCCUUUCAUUUCCCAGUGGGCUUGUGAAAAGCAAAACACUAUCUGGAUUGUAGCUGACAGCUGCAUCCAGUAUGGGGAGGAGAGAGCAUGAGAGACAUGAGAGCCUGAGUCUGGAUGACAGAGUCUGUUGGUUUGGCUGGGGAAGCCUGAGGUGGGAGCACCUUCUCACCUUCAUUCACCAGUCCAUGAGAGGAAGAGCAGCCCCAGGUCCUGCUCAUUCACUGUACCUGGAACAAUCCUGGGAAGACCACACGGAAUGAAAUAGGAUCUGCAAGACCUCCACUGGCAUUUUCCAGGGACCAUGAUCACCCUGUCAGGGAUCACCCUGGGCCGUUGAUGGAGUACUGCCAAUCCGGGGAAGAUUGAUAACACCAGGAAGUGGGUGAAUAAUUAUCAAGACUAUAUUUGUUUGAAAUUUAGGCGGUAUUUCUGUCCCACAUCCUUACAAAAAUUUGAAAUGCUGACCUAUUUCUUAAGGAUGGAGUGCAUUUCACCCCUUGGGGGAAAAAAAUAAUAUCAUGUAUUCCCUUAAAGACUGGGGAGGAGAAGCUGCCUUCAAGAGUUUUUUCUGCUCAAUUUGGCAAUUUGUCCAAUUCUGGAUUUAGCAUUUAACUGAACACGGUUUUCAAAAAAUGAUACAGGACUGUAAUAUACUGAUAUGGAUGUAAAUACCCUCAAAGUAAAGCUGGCUGUCUGCACUUUAA